GAUGAACGCUGGCGGCGUGCCUAAUACAUGCAAGUCGAACGCUGGAAAUCUAUCUUGCUAGAUUGAAGGAGUGGCGAACGAGUGAGUAAUACAUAAGCAACCUACCCACGAAGACUGGGAUAAUCUCUGGAAACGGGGACUAAUACCGGAUAGGUAAUCGGAAGGCAUAUUCUGAUUAUUAAAGGGUAAAAACACUGGUGGAUGGGCUUAUGGUGCAUUAGUUAGUUGGUGACGUAACGGCCCACCAAGACGAUGAUGCGUAGCCGGCCGGAUAGGGUGAAACGCCACAAUUGGGACGAGACACGGACCAGACUCGUACGGAAGGCAGCAGUAGGUAAGUUUCGGCGAGGGGGGAUACCCUGACCGAGCCACGCCGAGUGAGAGAUGACUGCCUUCGGGUUGUAAAGCUAUGUUGUAAGGGAAGAACGGUAGAUAGAGAAUAUCUAAAUGACGGUACCUUAUCAGAAAGCCACGGCUAACUACGUG
rnacentral:rRNA from 1 species